rnacentral:rRNA from 1 species
CCUACGGGUGGCAGCAGUGGGGGAUAUUGCACAAUGGGGGAAACCCUGAUGCAGCGACGCCGCGUGGGUGAAGAAGCGCCUCGGCGCGUAAAGCCCUGUCAGCAGGGAAGAAAAUGACGGUACCUGAAGAAGAAGCCACGGCUAACUACGUGCCAGCAGCCGCGGUAAUACGUAGGGGGCAAGCGUUAUCCGGAUUUACUGGGUGUAAAGGGGGCGCAGACGGCGAUGCAAGCCAGGAGGGAAAGCCCGGGGCCCCACCCCGGGACUGCGCUUUGAACUGCGUGGCCAGAGUGCAGGGGGGGCAGGCGGAAUUCCUGGUGUAGCGGUGGAAUGCGUAGAUAUCCGGAGGAACCCCGGUGGCGAAGGCCGCCUGCUGGACUGCAACUGACGUUGAGGCCCGAAAGCGUGGGGAGCAAACAGGAUUAGAUACCCUAGUAGUC